rnacentral:rRNA from 1 species
GGCAGGCCUAACACAUGCAAGCCGAGGGGUAGUCUCUUUCGGGAGAACACGACCGGCGCACGGGUGAGUAACGCGUAUGCAACCUACCUUUGGCACGGGGACAGCCCGGGGAAACCCGGAUUAAUACCCGGUAUAGUCUAUUAUACACCUGUAUAAAAGACGAGAGCUACGGCGGCCAAAGAUGGGCAUGCGUGCCAUUAGUUAGUUGGUAGGGUAACGGCCUACCAAGGCAUCGAUGGCUACGGGGUCUAAAAGGGUGAGCCCGCACACUGGUACUGAGACACGGACCAGACUCCUACGGGAGGCAGCAGUGAGGAAUAUCGGUCAAUGGGUGGAAGCCUGAACCAGCCAUGCCGCGUGCAGGAAGACGGCCUUAUGGGUUGUAAACUGCUUUUCUACGGGACGAACGGCUCUGACGUGUCAGAGAUUGACGGUACCGUAGGAAUAAGCAUCGGCUAACUCCGUGCCAGCAGCCGCGGUAAUACGGAGGAUGCGAGCGUUAUCCGGAUUUAUUAGGUUUAAAGGGUGCGUAGGCUGGGCAAUAAGUCAGUGGUGAAAGUCCGCGGCUCAACCGUGGGAUUGCCAUUGAGACUGUUGUUCUUGAGUACAGUCGAGGUAGGCGGAAUGUGUAAUGUAGCGGUGAAAUGCAUAGAUAUUACCCAGAACACCGAUUGCGUAGGCAGCUUACCAGCCUGGAACUGACGCUGAUGCACGAAAGCGUGGGGAGCGAACAGGAUUAGAUACCCUGGUAGUCCACGCCGUAAACGAUGAUCACUCGCUGUUGGCAAUAUAGAGUCAGCGGCUGAGCGAAAGCCUUAAGUGAUCCACCUGGGGAGUACGUCGGCAACGAUGAAACUCAAAGGAAUUGACGGGGGCCCGCACAAGCGGUGGAACAUGUGGUUUAAUUCGAUGAUACGCGAGGAACCUUACCUGGGCUUAAAUGUAGCCGGACGAUUCCGGAAACGGGAUUUCCUUAACGGCUGGUUACAAGGUGCUGCAUGGCUGUCGUCAGCUCGUGUCGUGAGGUGUCGGGUUAAGUCCCAUAACGAGCGCAACCCUUAUUCUUAGUUGCCAGCGGGUAGAG